GUGUCAGCAGCCGCGGUAAUACAGAGGGUGCGAGCGUUAAUCGGAAUUACUGGGCGUAAAGCGCGCGUAGGCGGUUUGUUAAGUCGGAUGUGAAAUCCCCGGGCUCAACCUGGGAAUUGCAUUCGAUACUGGCAAGCUAGAGUAUGGGAGAGGAAGGUAGAAUUCCAGGUGUAGCGGUGAAAUGCGUAGAGAUCUGGAGGAAUACCGAUGGCGAAGGCAGCCUUCUGGCCUAAUACUGACGCUGAGGUGCGAAAGCAUGGGGAGCAAACAGGAUUAGAUACCCUGGUAGUCCAUGCCGUAAACGAUGUCAACUAGCCGUUGGGGGAUUUGAUCCUUUAGUGGCGCAGCUAACGCGAUAAGUUGACCGCCUGGGGAGUACGGUCGCAAGACUAAAACUCAAAGGAAUUGACGGGG
rnacentral:rRNA from 1 species